ensembl:snoRNA
GCCCUCUGCUUCCCUUUUCUAGUGGACCUGAACACUGGUCUUGGUGGCCACAGAAGGAGGAAGAGUAAGAAGCUAUUCUCAGCAUUGUAGUCUGGUGUGGUGCAUGUGGGUUAGGUUCCAAUAGGG